rnacentral:misc_RNA from 1 species
AAGAUGAUGAUGCCCUUCUUAGGGAACUCCUCCCGGCAUUGCCGGGUGCACUCACCUUUCCUUGUGAACAGACCUAUUGCUUUGGUAGCAUCCUACCAGUUGGGUUGUUAGCCUACCUCUAGCCUACAAUAAAAUCCUUAUGAUAUUCUGUGAGGUGUCUGAAAAGAAGCAAAUUUUCAUGA